rnacentral:rRNA from 1 species
AAAUUGAAGAGUUUGAUCAUGGCUCAGAUUGAACGCUGGCGGCAGGCCUAACACAUGCAAGUCGAGCGGAAACGAGUUAUCAGAACCUUCGGGGGACGAUAACGGCGUCGAGCGGCGGACGGGUGAGUAAUGCCUAGGAAAUUGCCCUGAUGUGGGGGAUAACCAUUGGAAACGAUGGCUAAUACCGCAUGAUGCCUACGGGCCAAAGAGGGGGACCUUCGGGCCUCUCGCGUCAGGAUAUGCCUAGGUGGGAUUAGCUAGUUGGUGAGGUAAAGGCUCACCAAGGCGACGAUCCCUAGCUGGUCUGAGAGGAUGAUCAGCCACACUGGAACUGAGACACGGUCCAGACUCCUACGGGAGGCAGCAGUGGGGAAUAUUGCACAAUGGGCGCAAGCCUGAUGCAGCCAUGCCGCGUGUGUGAAGAAGGCCUUCGGGUUGUAAAGCACUUUCAGUCGUGAGGAAGGCGGUGUAGUUAAUAGCUGCAUCGUUUGACGUUAGCGACAGAAGAAGCACCGGCUAACUCCGUGCCAGCAGCCGCGGUAAUACGGAGGGUGCGAGCGUUAAUCGGAAUUACUGGGCGUAAAGCGCAUGCAGGUGGUUUGUUAAGUCAGAUGUGAAAGCCCGGGGCUCAACCUCGGAAUUGCAUUUGAAACUGGCAGACUAGAGUACUGUAGAGGGGGGGGUAGAAUUUCAGGUGUAGCGGUGAAAUGCGUAGAGAUCUGAAGGAAUACCGGUGGCGAAGGCGGCCCCCUGGACAGAUACUGACACUCAGAUGCGAAAGCGUGGGGAGCAAACAGGAUUAGAUACCCUGGUAGUCCACGCCGUAAACGAUGUCUACUUGGAGGUUGUGGCCUUGAGCCGUGGCUUUCGGAGCUAACGCGUUAAGUAGACCGCCUGGGGAGUACGGUCGCAAGAUUAAAACUCAAAUGAAUUGACGGGGGGCCCGCACAAGCGGUGGAGCAUGUGGUUUAAUUCGAUGCAACGCGAAGAACCUUACCUACUCUUGACAUCCAGAGAACUUUCCAGAGAUGGAUUGGUGCCUUCGGGAACUCUGAGACAGGUGCUGCAUGGCUGUCGUCAGCUCGUGUUGUGAAAUGUUGGGUUAAGUCCCGCAACGAGCGCAACCCUUAUCCUUGUUUGCCAGCGAGUAAUGUCGGGAACUCCAGGGAGACUGCCGGUGAUAAACCGGAGGAAGGUGGGGACGACGUCAAGUCAUCAUGGCCCUUACGAGUAGGGCUACACACGUGCUACAAUGGCGCAUACAGAGGGCGGCCAACUUGCGAAAGUGAGCGAAUCCCAAAAAGUGCGUCGUAGUCCGGAUUGGAGUCUGCAACUCGACUCCAUGAAGUCGGAAUCGCUAGUAAUCGUGGAUCAGAAUGCCACGGUGAAUACGUUCCCGGGCCUUGUACACACCGCCCGUCACACCAUGGGAGUGGGCUGCAAAAGAAGUAGGUAGUUUAACCUUCGGGGGGACGCUUACCACUUUGUGGUUCAUGACUGGGGUGAAGUCGUAACAAGGUAGCGCUAGGGGAACCUGGCGCUGGAUCACCUCCUUA